rnacentral:tRNA from 2 species
UCUCAGCUAUCUCAGUCGGUAGUGUGUGAGACUCUUAAUCUCAGGGUCGUGGGUUUGAGCCCCACGUUGGGAG